GCAGCGGUGGCCCAAUGGUAGGGCGCCUCGCCAUCAAACGACCUUGCAAACACAAGCGUUGUCACCAACACCCUCCCGAUGUAAGCGUCAAACCGAACAAAGGGGCCAACACCACGAUGCCUUGCCAACACAAGCAUUGCGUUCGCUGUAAUUCCAGUUCUCCCUCGCAGAGCUGGUAGGGGGUGGAGGAUGGAUCUGAGGAAGUGUGAGUUCAAAUCUCACUCGCUGCA
rnacentral:tRNA from 1 species